rnacentral:rRNA from 1 species
AGUGAACGCUGGCGGUAGGCCUAACACAUGCAAGUCGAACGGCAGCACAGUAAGAGCUUGCUCUUACGGGUGGCGAGUGGCGGACGGGUGAGGAAUACAUCGGAAUCUACUUUUUCGUGGGGGAUAACGUAGGGAAACUUACGCUAAUACCGCAUACGACCUACGGGUGAAAGCAGGGGAUCUUCGGACCUUGCGCGAUUGAAUGAGCCGAUGUCGGAUUAGCUAGUUGGCGGGGUAAAGGCCCACCAAGGCGACGAUCCGUAGCUGGUCUGAGAGGAUGAUCAGCCACACUGGAACUGAGACACGGUCCAGACUCCUACGGGAGGCAGCAGUAGGGAAUAUUGGACAAUGGGCGCAAGCCUGAUCCAGCCAUACCGCGUGGGUGAAGAAGGCCUUCGGGUUGUAAAGCCCUUUUGUUGGGAAAGAAAAGCAGCAGAUUAAUACCCCGCUGUUCUGACGGUACCCAAAGAAUAAGCACCGGCUAACUUCGUG